UAUCGGUCCCCUCGCAUCGUCAGGUCGUAAACCCCGUCAGGCCCGGAAGGGAGCAGCGGUAGCGACUGGUACGGGUGCCGGGGUGUGGCUGAUGCGG
rnacentral:SRP_RNA from 3 species